GAUGAACGCUGGCGGCGUGCCUAAUACAUGCAAGUCGAGCGAACGGACGAGAAGCUUGCUUCUCUGAUGUUAGCGGCGGACGGGUGAGUAACACGUGGAUAACCUACCUAUAAGACUGGGAUAACUUCGGGAAACCGGAGCUAAUACCGGAUAAUAUUUUGAACCGCAUGGUUCAAAAGUGAAAGACGGUCUUGCUGUCACUUAUAGAUGGAUCCGCGCUGCAUUAGCUAGUUGGUAAGGUAACGGCUUACCAAGGCAACGAUGCAUAGCCGACCUGAGAGGGUGAUCGGCCACACUGGAACUGAGACACGGUCCAGACUCCUACGGGAGGCAGCAGGAGGGAAUCUUGCGCAAUGGGCGAAAGCCUGACGGAGCAACGCCGCGGGAGUGAUGAAGGUCUUCGGAUCGUAAAACUCUGUUAUUAGGGAAGAACAUAUGUGUAAGUAACUGUGCACAUCUUGACGUUACCUAAGCAGAAAGCCACGGCUAACUACGU
rnacentral:rRNA from 1 species